rnacentral:rRNA from 1 species
AGGUUUCCGUAGGUGAACCUGCGGAAGGAUCAUUAUUGAAAUAAAUCUGAUAAGUUGUUGCUGGUUCUCUAGGGAGCAUGUGCACACUUGUCAUCUUUAUAUCUCCACCUGUGCACCUUUUGUAGACCUGGAUAUCUCUCUGACUGCUAGACACUCAGGUUUGGGGAUUGACUUAUGUCUUUCCUUAUAUUUCCCGGUCUAUGCUUCUUCAUAUACCCAAUUGUAUGUUAUAGAAUGUAACCAAAUGGCCUUUGUGCCUAUAAAUCUAUACAACUUUCAGCAACGGAUCUCUUGGCUCUCGCAUCGAUGAAGAACGCAGCGAAAUGCGAUAAGUAAUGUGAAUUGCAGAAUUCAGUGAAUCAUCGAAUCUUUGAACGCACCUUGCGCUCCUUGGUAUUCCGAGGAGCAUGCCUGUUUGAGUGUCAUUAAUAUAUCAAUUCUCUUCAGCUUUUGCUUGUUGAGUGUUGGAUGUGGGGGGUCAUUUUUUGCUGGUCCUCUCAGGUCAGCUCCCCUGAAAUGUAUUAGCGGAACAAUUGUAAACCGUUCAUUGGUGUGAUAACUAUCUACGCUAUUGACGUGAAGCACAGUUCAGCUUCUAACAGUCCAUUCACUUGGACAAAUUUUCAUUAAUGUGACCUCAAAUCAGGUAGGACUACCCGCUGAACUUAAGCAUAUCAAUAAGCGGAGGAAAAGAAACUAACAAGGAUUCCCCUAGUAACUGCGAGUGAAGCGGGAAAAGCUCAAAUUUAAAAUCUGUCAGUCUUCAUGAUUGUCCGAGUUGUAAUCUAGAGAAGUGU